rnacentral:rRNA from 1 species
UGAAAAAUUAGCGGAUGACUUGUGGCUGGGGGUGAAAGGCCAAUCAAACCGGGAGAUAGCUGGUUCUCCCCGAAAGCUAUUUAGGUAGCGCCUCGUGAAUUCAUCUUCGGGGGUAGAGCACUGUUUCGGCUAGGGGUCAUCCCGACUUACCAACCCGAUGCAAACUACGAAUACCGAAGAAUGUUAUCACGGGAGACACACGGCGGGUGCUAACGUCCGUCGUGAAGAGGGAAACAACCCAGACCGCCAGCUAAGGUCCCAAAGUCAUGGUUAAGUGGGAAACGAUGUGGGAAGGCACAGACAGCCAGGAUGUUGGCUUAGAAGCAGCCAUCAUUUAAAGAAAGCGUAAUAGCUCACUGGUCGAGUCGGCCUGCGCGGAAGAUGUAACGGGGCUAAACCAUGCACCGAAGCUGCGGCAGCGACACUAUGUGUUGUUGGGUAGGGGAGCGUUCUGUAAGCCUGCGAAGGUGACCUGUGAGGGUUGCUGGAGGUA